AUCAACUUUCGAUGGUAGGAUAGAGGCCUACCAUGGUGGUAACGGGUAACGGGGUGUUAGGGCACGACACCGGAGAGGGAGCCUGAGAAACGGCUACCACAUCCAAGGAUGGCAGCAGGCGCGCAAAUUACCCAAUCCCGACACGGGGAGGUAGUGACAAUAAAUAACAAUACGGGGUUCUUUCGGAUUUCGUAAUUGGAAUGAGUACAAUUUAAAUCUCUUAACGAGGAACAAUUGGAGGGCAAGUCUGGUGCCAGCAGCCGCGGUAAUUCCAGCUCCAAUAGCGUAUAUUAAAGUUGCUGCAGUUAAAAAGCUCGUAGUUGGAUUUCGGGACCAAUAUGUCGGUCGUGCCUCGGUACGUACUGGCAUCGUUGGUUUCUCCCUUCUGACGAACCAUGAUGUCAUUCAUUUGGUGUCGCGGGGAAUCAGGACUGUUACUUUGAAAAAAUUAGAGUGUUUAAAGCAGGCUCACGCUUGAAUACAUUAGCAUGGAAUAAUGAAAUAGGACGUUUGAUUCUAUUUUGUUGGUUUCUAGGAUCGACGUAAUGAUUAAUAGGGAUAGUUGGGGGCAUUAGUAUUCAAUUGUCAGAGGUGAAAUUCUUGGAUUUAUUGAAGACUAACUACUGCGAAAGCAUUUGCCAAGGAUGUUUUCAUUAAUCAAGAACGAAAGUUAGGGGAUCGAAGACGAUCAGAUACCGUCGUAGUCUUAACCAUAAACUAUGCCGACUAGGGAUCGGAUGAUGUUAAUUUUUUAAUGACUCAUUCGGCGCCUUACGGGAAACCAAAGUGUUUGGGUUC
rnacentral:rRNA from 1 species